rnacentral:rRNA from 2 species
UGGGGAAUAUUGGGCAAUGGGCGAAAGCCUGACCCAGCGACGCCGCGUGAGGGAAGACGGUCUUCGGAUUGUAAACCUCUUUUAUAAGGGACGAACAAAUGACGGUACCUUAUGAAUAAGCCACGGCUAACUACGUGCCAGCAGCCGCGGUAAUACGUAGGUGGCGAGCGUUAUCCGGAUUUACUGGGUGUAAAGGGUGUGUAGGCGGGACUGCAAGUCAGAUGUGAAAAUCAUGGGCUCAACUCAUGACCUGCAUUUGAAACUGUGGUUCUUGAGGGUCGGAGAGGUAACUGGAAUUCCUGGUGUAGCGGUGAAAUGCGUAGAUAUCAGGAGGAACACCGGUGGCGAAGGCGGGUUACUGGACGAUUACUGACGCUGAGACACGAAAGUGUGGGGAGCAAACAGG